rnacentral:misc_RNA from 1 species
GUAGGUGAACCUGCGGAAGGAUCAUUAUCGAAUCUUCAGAGACGAGUUGUCGCUGGCCCCUCACCGGGCAUGUGCACGCUCCGAUCGAUCGUUCUCAACCCCCUGUGCACAUCUUGUAGGGAGACGAAGGGAGGGAGCCGUGAGGCUUUCUCUUGGUAGCCUCCUUAUGUUUUAUAUAUACCCCAUCGCAUGUCUUAGAAUGUCAUAUCUUUGUCUGCCCUAAAAAAGCAUUCGAAUUAAUUACAACUUUCAACAACGGAUCUCUUGGCUCUC